ACAGACAACUAACUGUUAAACAUUUUUUUUCGAAUAGUUGGCUUAUAUAGAAGUUUUGUUGUUAAACAUACACACACACAUAGUCUGAAUAUUUACACAAUGUGUUGAUGAAAUUGUCAGUUAAUGAAAUGUCAAUGAGAACACAGGAGACAAUUAAAUAGAAAAAAAUUACAAAUACAAAAAGGAAGACACGUAUUGGGAAUAUUAGUGGGGUAGGCACUUUGAAUUGUACUUUUAAAGCCAACGACUGGUAGCGUCAUGUCUCUUCGCGGGUGAUAUUGUGUCGGCGACCUGAACCAAGAAAUCCUGUAUAAAAAUUAUGGUACCACCAGCCAAGUUUCCUUUUCUUUCAUCUUUACUUCUUUACAAUAACACACCUCGUUGGCAAUGUACCCUGAGUUAUUUAUGAUUCCACAUGAAUGGCAAAGACACCAUCAUCUUCGCUUGCUCGAAUGGAAAUGUUAGCACGACCAUCGGAGCCCACGACAAC